AUUCCGUUCUAUAGUUUUCUAGGAGUUUCCUUUCUACAGUGUUCUAGAGAUUUCUGUGACAACUAUAUAUAUACAGACACUAAAGUCAAACAUUCAGACAUAGACAUUAAUAUUCUCAGACCUUCUCUCAAUUGGAUUGACACUUUUAUUUACGAACAACAUCAUGCUAGAUUGUGACCUAUUGGACGUAAUAUUCUGUUUGGAUUCCCGAGAAGAAUUCCGGAUAAAGAAAAGACAAAAGAUCGGACAUAUAUUUUAACACCUUGUCGGCCAUGCUGGUUGGUUGACGGGAUCAUAGGACACUUUUUAUAACAAGAUUUUCCAAUGAUGAUUCUCGCCAAGUUUUGUUCCAAUUGAUCCAGUAUUUUCUUAGAAGAUUUCGGUAGAAGUUGACGGAGUACGACAGAUGACGGACGCCAAAUGAUGGCAAUAGUUCACACUAGUCUUUUGGGGCAGAUGAGCUAAAAUAUUGAGGACAAAGAAGCAUUCAUGCCACUUUACAAAGCAAUCAAAGCCGGGCUUCAGAGUUAUUAUGAAACUCUACUCUAGGGGCAGUAUGAAUCAGCUCACAAAGUAACAGUGAACAUACAGGAAGACGUAAUAUGCGACAAAAACGACUAUUCUGAAUCAGUCUCAAUUUAUCUUUGCUCCUACUCCAAAACACACUUAGAUGUUUAAGUAUACUAGAGUUCUUGUAUGUGGAAUAUUAUCGCUAUUGUUAAAAGAGAGGCGAAAGAUACCAAUAAAUAAUGAUGGCACAUUUCUCAACAGGCCAAUAUAACUGCUCAUACAGAUCCCAAUACUGUAUAGAAUAAAAUGAGUCGCUACAGUCAAAAAACAGAGUCGCGAUUACAUUAAUUAAAUUUUGGAACAAAAAUGUAUAUAAUUUUGAAAUUAACAGAAAAAUAUAAUUACAGAAGUUGCAAAUUGCCAUUACAUAUUGACUUCGAAACUGAGUUUUAUCGAUAUUGAUAUAUAAAUUGAGUUUUAUUGGAAGACGAAAGUCAAGUAAUCUUCCCACAGGUACCUACAUCGAAUUCUUUUUUCAGUACUAUCAGGCCAAAAAAAAACAACGAUAAAGGUAAAACAGACUUAAUACAUACAAUGAACGUGCAACUUCAUGAAAUUAGAUUUGUUAUUAAUUCGCAUGAGAAUGGUAUUUAUCCCAAAAAGAUGUAUAUUAACAAAGAUCCAGAAUUAUUUAUGCUUGGAAAAGGAAAAAAAAACAAUGACAGGCGCAAAAAUUAUUGUUAAUCUCGCAACCACCACAAACACCUUGUAAUAGGGAACUUGAAUAUUUAUAUAGAUAAGAAUUCUACCAUUUUUUGUAAUUGUCAGAUGAAGUCCUAUUAACAGAAUUCUUACAAC